CCUUCCAGAGGAAAGUCCAUGCUCGCGCUUCCUGUGACGGAAGCAGUGUCUGUGCAAGGCUAAUCAAUAAGCCUUGGCUAGGAGGAGUCCUAGACGGCGGAAGAGGACCUAAAGCGAAAGCCAUGGUGCUUCUUCCUGAAAGCUCCACAGUGACGAAACGGAGAGAAAUCUCCGGAAUGAAACGACGGAAAGCCCCACAAGCGAGAAACCUAAAUUUUGGUAAGGGAAGUCUCAAAGAGGAAUAAGAACUCCGAAAGACAGGUGCUUGCACCUAGAUAAAUUGUCAUCCUCGACAAAACAUGGCUUACAG
rnacentral:RNase_P_RNA from 1 species